GCAUGUGAGGAUGAUCUGACUGCAACAUCUGCCAUACCAUUAAUUGCUUGUGUUGCUUUGACUGAUCUGACUGGUUAGUCUGGUGUCCCUUCCACCCUCACCAUUCUAUGCACAUCCCUUUCAAACCUGUGCACUUGGUUGAAGAGGUCAGUCACCCCUGACAAGAGACUGACCCAUAGACCAUUCUUUGGUGGAGGGUAUACAAGUAGUUGUGCUGGAAAGUUUGAAGCAGAUAGCUAUGGUGCUGUUUAUUGAGAGAUUAAUCAAGAUGCGCAGUGAGGAGACAAUAGGAAUAGUGAUGAGAAAAAUGGUUACUGCUUUAAUCAAAUCCCAAGUUG
rnacentral:sRNA from 1 species